rnacentral:rRNA from 1 species
UGCACGAGAAAGUAGCGAUAUAUGAUACUUGGUGUGAAUUGCAGAAUCUCGUGAACCAUCAAGUCUUUGAACGCAAGUUGUGCCCCAAGUCGUUAGGCUGAGGGCACAUCUGCUUGGGUGUCACAU